rnacentral:misc_RNA from 1 species
GAUGAUCUUUAUGAGUACAAUCAGAAGGAACGAAGAACUGUACUGGAGGUAUUGGAUGAUUUUCCAUCCGUUCAGAUGCCUUUUGAAUGGUUGGUUCAGUUGGUACCUCCACUAAAAACUAGGGCUUUUUCCAUCUCUUCUUCUCACUCAGCUCAUCCAAACCAAGUGCAUUUAACUGUUAGUGUGGUAUCGUGGACAACACCUUAUAAGAGGAAGCGCACGGGUCUUUGCUCGUCAUGGUUAGCUGAACUUGAUCCUCAGAAAAGUGUCCUCAUACCGGCAUGGUUUCAAAAAGGUUCUCUUCCUUCCCCUCCACCUUCACUUCCUCUUAUUCUAAUUGGACCUGGCACAGGGUGUGCACCUUUUCGUGGAUUUGUGGAGGAAAGAGCCCUUCAGAGUCAAUCCGG